GAUGAACGCUGGCGGCGUGCCUAAUACAUGCAAGUCGAGCGAACAGACGAGGAGCUUGCUCCUCUGACGUUAGCGGCGGACGGGUGAGUAACACGUGGAUCACCUACCUAUAAGACUGGGAUCACUUCGGGACACCGGAGCUAAUCCCGGAUAAUAUAUUGAACCGCAUGGUUCAAUGGUGAAAGACGGUUUUGCUGUCACUUAUAGCUGGAUCCGCGCCGCAUUAGCUAGUUGGUAAGGUAACGGCCUACCAAGGCAACGAUGCGUAGCCGACCUGUGAGGGUGAUCGGCCACACGGGAACGUGGACACGGACCAGAGUCCUACGGUAGGCAGCAGUAUGGAAUCUGCCGCAAUGGUCGAAAGUUUGACGGAGCAACGCCGCGUGAGAGAUGACGGUCUUCGGAGCGUAAAGCUCUGUUAUGAGGGAAGAACAAAUGUGGAAGGAACUAUGCACUUCUUGACGGUACCGAAUCAGAAAGCCACGGCUAACUACGUG
rnacentral:rRNA from 1 species